rnacentral:rRNA from 1 species
AUUGAACGCUGGCGGCAGGCCUAACACAUGCAAGUCGAACGGUAACAGGAAGCAGCUUGCUGCUUCGCUGACGAGUGGCGGACGGGUGAGUAAUGUCUGGGAAACUGCCUGAUGGAGGGGGAUAACUACUGGAAACGGUAGCUAAUACCGCAUAACGUCGCAAGACCAAAGAGGGGGACCUUCGGGCCUCUUGCCAUCGGAUGUGCCCAGAUGGGAUUAGCUAGUAGGUGGGGUAACGGCUCACCUAGGCGACGAUCCCUAGCUGGUCUGAGAGGAUGACCAGCCACACUGGAACUGAGACACGGUCCAGACUCCUACGGGAGGCAGCAGUGGGGAAUAUUGCACAAUGGGCGCAAGCCUGAUGCAGCCAUGCCGCGUGUAUGAAGAAGGCCUUCGGGUUGUAAAGUACUUUCAGCGGGGAGGAAGGGAGUAAAGUUAAUACCUUUACUCAUGACGUAC